rnacentral:rRNA from 1 species
CAGCCGCCGCGGGAAUACGUAGGGUGCAAGCGUUAAUCGGAAUUACUGGGCGUAAAGCGUGCGCAGGCGGUUAUAUAAGUCAGAUGUGAAAUCCCCGGGCUCAACCUGGGAACUGCGUUCUGAACUGGGUGACUAGAGUGUGUCAGAGGGAGGUAGAAUUCCACGUGUAGCAGUGGAAUGCGUAGAGAUGUGGAGGAAUACCGAUGGCGAAGGCAGCCUCCUGGGAUAACACUGACGUUCAUGCCCGAAAGCGUGGGUAGCAAACAGGAUUAGAUACCCGCGUAGUCCCUGUCUCUUAUAC